CAGCUGCAGAAAAGGGCCAGGGCCUUUCUUGUCUGUCCUCUGUGAUUCUGCAGAGUGUUGGUCUGAGAGACGUGGACCUGAGGAGAGACCGCUCAGAGGCUGCUUUCAAGUUGUCUGAGGGGAGAGGAGGAGGAGGAUGGUCAAGAGAGGAGACAGAGCAGACUAAAGCUCUGCUGUUUGAUAGGAUGAUCAAGCUGGGCCUGCCGCCCAAUCAGGACAUUGACCUGAGGAAACGACCUUCUGGGGGCCUGCAGGUCAAGGCUGACUUCUUGGAGACAGCAGGGAGAACGAACAGUCUGGAGGGCUUCAGGCCCAGUUCGGAUGGUGAAAUGCCCAGAAGAUCACAGUCCCAAUAUCAGGGGGAAGAACAGAUGCCAUGGGUCCUCAUCCCCAUCACAGGGCUGAAGUCAAACAAGUACUGCCUGAGCCAGAAGGACAAUCUUCAGGACCCACGCUUUGUUCCCCAGAUCCCCAUGGCAAACAGAAGCUAACCCCCCCUGUGUCCCGGAACGACGGGAAAGAAGCAUCAACUCUACGCUAGAGGAGCUCCCACAGCAUAGCCUCAGUACUUCCCUAGAGGUGUCAGAAGAGCCCAGCCCCUACCCCAGUCCCUGCCCAAGCCCCUGGUCUUGCUCCAGUCCCAUGGAGGAUGAGCAGCAAUUAGCUGAAACCCCCUGUGACCCCACAGAAAUAAGCGGCAACCAUAAGACGAGCACAGACAAGAAGACGAGCACAAACCAGAGCUUCUUUCAAAUCCCUGGUGCUCCAGCGAGCACCAGGCUACUAGACAAGUGCCGCAGCCCCUCACCUGAGCCAAAGCCAAAUGGAGAACCAACCCGUACUAUCCCUAACCCUGUGGAGGCUGGGCAGGAACAGGUUGAAGGCAGCACAGGAAAAGUUAUAUCUGGCGUGGUUGCUGAAGAUCCAACCACAAUGGAUGUUGGACAAGAAGAGGGGGAGGAGGUAGGGGAGGAAGAAAUAGAGUUGGAGGAGGAUAAUGUGAUUGAAGUGGUAGAUGAAGAGGUGGAGACGGUUAUAAAGCAGACAGAAGUGUCACCACCCUCUCUUGACCUCAGUUCUCCUGAGCAGAUUCCCGUCCAAAAUCCUCCCCCCGUCCAGAACACUCCUCCCGUCCAGAGGCCCAUGCUGAGCAGAGUGAACUGUGUCCUGGACCAGCAGUUCAGCGACUUCUCUACAGAGAUGCAGAUACUCCUGCUCAGAGAGAGUGUCCACUACAACUCCCCACUGAUCCCUAGCCAGAGUCCUCCGGGCCAUCCCCCCAUCCUGCCCUUCUCUGAGUAUGUCUCCUUCUACAACUCCUCCCCGCCUAUGCAGGACUACGUCAGCUCCCUGAGAGACCGCAUGGGCACCGUCAUAGACACACAGGAGCAAUGGAUUCCUAGCACGGUGGCCACUGACUCUCCCCUGGUCUUUUCUAACAAUAACCACCACCAUGCUAGCCACGUUCAUAGAACUACAUACAACUGGUACCCUUCUUCUCGUGGCCCUGUUUCUCACUCUGUCCCCAGCCCUCACCCUCCGUCCCUGUCUGCCCCUGGUCGUGCUAGUUCAGACUCCUACAGUUCUCUACCUGUGUCUCAUUCUGUCCCCAACUGCCACUCUCCUGCCUCUCCUUCUGGCCCCGGCCUUAACCUUGCUAGUUCAAACACUUACAGUUCUUUAUCAGUUUAUCAGUUUCCCUCAGCUGUGUCUCAGUUUAAUAGUAAUAAUAACAAUCAUGUUAUUAUUCGCUCUUCAUCCUUCCCCGGUCCUGGCACUGCCUCUCCUUUUACCCCUCCCCUCUACAACAACCCAGCCCAGACAGAGCUGCCUCUAUCCCAGCUGCACUCUAGUCUAGCGCCCCUCCCCAUCCAACCACUGGCACUGGGCAACCAGUGGAUAACAAGAGCGCAAACAACAACAGAGAACCCGGACUCAGACUGCCGAGAGCAACUGGGAACGUGCAAGCCAAGUGCUAUGUCAACCACGACAAAGAACACUGACUUAGAUGCUCGAGGGCUACGGGGAAAGUGUAAGGCACAAACGAGUGCAAAGUUUCAAUCAAAAGACAAUGUCAGAAUUGUUGAUCCUCCGAUUUCAGAAGCCACCAUGGUGGCUCCACAUCAUCUCACUCAGAUGAUUGAGAGUUCUUCAGGGGUGGGAGGGCCUUUCCCAAGCUCAAGGCCGGAUCCACCUGCACCCAUCAGUAGUCUGAUUAGCCAGCUGAAACCUGAGCUGUUCAGUAACCUGGUGAAGAUUAUAAAAGAUGUCCAGAAGAACUCUGUCCAGUUCUACAUCCACCAUAUUAAGGAGUACAUCCAGAGAUUGGGGAACAUAGAACACAGUCCUGAGAGUUUCUUGGAAAGAGAGAACUGUUUGGAAAAGUAUGGUUCUCAUGCAGAACAAGGAAAUCGCAGCUCACGUUCGUAAGGUACUUGACAAAAAUAUCAGUCAUUCCACGAAAUGAGUUCUUUUUGUGUCCCUUUGAUAUUUUAAGUAGAAAUUGUGCACCGAUAUUGGAUUUUAAAAGCCUUUUAAAUUAUGAAGUGCCCUUAAUUCAAUACAUUUUUGAAUGAAAAGACUUCUACUUUGAAGAAUCUCAAAUAUAAAAUAUUUUGAUUUGUUUAACACAUGAUUCCAUGUGUUAUUUCAUAGUUUUGAUGUCUUCACUAUUAUUCUACAAUGUAGAAAUUUCCCUCAUUAAAAUACAAAUCAAUUUAUAACAUUUGACAUGUGUUUUUCUGGAUUUUUUUGUUGUUAUUCUGUCUCUCACUGCUCAAAUAAACCUACCAUUAAAAUUAUAGACUGAUCAUUUCUUUGUCAGUGGGCAAACGUACAAACUCAGCAGGGGAUCAAAUACCUUUCCCCCUCACCGUAUAUA
rnacentral:lncRNA from 1 species